AAGAAAUUUAAUAAUUUUGAAAAUGGAUUUUUUUGUUUUGGCAAGAGCAUGAGAGCUUUUACUGGGCAAGAAGACAAGAGAUGGAGAGUCCAGCCGGGCCUGCGCUUAAGUGCGCGGUCUUGCUAGGCUUGUAAGUUUCUUUCUUGCUAUUCCAAACGGUGAGAGAUUUCUGUGCUUUUGUUAUAGGACAAUUAAAACCGUUUCAAUACAACACACUGUGGAGUUUUCAUAUCUUUGCAACUUUUUCUUUGGGCAUUCGAGCAAUCGGGGCCCAGAGGUAACAAACACAAACAAUUUUAUCUAUUCAUUAAAUUUUUGUCAAAAACAAGAAUUUUCGUAACUGGAAAUUUUAAAAUAUUAAAAACUUUCAACAACGGAUCUCUUGGUUCUCGCAUCGAUGAAGAACGCAGCGAAAUGCGAUACGUAAUGUGAAUUGCAGAAUUCCGUGAAUCAUCGAAUCUUUGAACGCACAUUGCGCCCCUUGGUAUUCCAGGGGGCAUGCCUGUUUGAGCGUCAUUUCCUUCUCAAACAUUCUGUUUGGUAGUGAGUGAUACUCUUUGGAGUUAACUUGAAAUUGCUGGCCUUUUCAUUGGAUGUUUUUUUUCCAAAGAGAGGUUUCUCUGCGUGCUUGAGGUAUAAUGCAAGUACGGUCGUUUUAGGUUUUACCAACUGCGGCUAAUCUUUUUUUAUACUGAGCGUAUUGGAACGUUAUCGAUAAGAAGAGAGCGUCUAGGCGAACAAUGUUCUUAAAGU
rnacentral:misc_RNA from 1 species